rnacentral:rRNA from 1 species
UACGUAGGGUGCAAGCGUUGUCCGGAAUUAUUGGGCGUAAAGAGCUCGUAGGCGGUUUGGCGCGUCGGCUGUGAAAACUCGGGGCUCAACCCCGAGCCUGCAGUCGAUACGGGCAGACUAGAGUGCUGUAGGGGAGACUGGAAUUCCUGGUGUAGCGGUGAAAUGCGCAGAUAUCAGGAGGAACACCGGUGGCGAAGGCGGGUCUCUGGGCAGUAACUGACGCUGAGGAGCGAAAGCGUGGGGAGCAAACAGG